rnacentral:misc_RNA from 1 species
GGAAGGAUCAUUAACACGUGAUACUUCACGUAUUAACCAAACGCGAACUGUUCUUAUGUCCUACCGCCGAUGUGACUGUUAGAAGUGAGGGAAGGUCGUGAGGCUGUCGUUUCGGCGAUGGUCUCUAACUCAUGGACAUACGGUCCCCCAUUGUACGCAGUGGCCGAUCGAGGUCAUGUUGGCGGUAGCAGAUGAAUUUCGGCUGUGGGCUUACUGCCUGGCUCUCAGUCGAAGUGACGCACCUUAUUAACCCCUUUUUUUAAUUUGGACUAAUUCUAGACUUUCUCUCGAAUUCCUGGGCAACCGGUUGAGUUUGAUCGAGGAUGUCGCACACACUAAUACGAAACAACUCUUAGCAACGGAUAUCUUGGUUCUCGUAACGAUGAAGAGCGCAGCGAAAUGCGAUACGUAAUGCGAAUUGCAGAAUUCAGUGAAUCAUCAAAUUCUUGAACGCAACUGGCGCCUUCAGGUUUACCUGGAGGCACGUUUCUCUCAGUGUCGGUUUAACUAUCUCCUUAAGCUGGGUUGAAAGACUCGGUGACGAGGGAAAAUGAGCGCUAUGAUGUCACAAUCGUAUCGCUUGAAAUUCAAUGAGUUGGUGUUACUUGGUUGGUGUUCGCCUCACGGUGGAUGCCGCCAUUGACAACUUAGUGAUGUGAGUAAUUCGUCUUCGGAUGAUACUUAACAUCAAUACUAACUGUCAGUGGUUCACUGAGUGGAUGCUAGCGAAACCUGUAGCAAAGUGGGGCACUCAACCGCCCUUCUUUCUCAAACAUUUGACCUGAGAUGAAGCGAGGCUACCCCCGGAAUUUAAGCAUAUUAUUACGGGGAGGAAAAGAAACUAACAAGGAUUCCCCUAGUAACGGCGAGUGAAGCGGGAAGAGCUCAAGUUUAAAAUCGGUGUGCUUUCGUACACCGAGUUGUAGUCUCGAGACAUGCUGUCUGCGGUGACGUCGGUACAAGUACCUUGGAAGAGGUUAUCAGAGAGGGUGACAAUCCCGUCGCUGACCGACAGAUCGCCGCUUUCGACGUAUGUUCACAGAGUCGGAUUGCUUGGGAGUGCAGUCCUAAUUGGGUGGUAAAUUUCAUCUAAAGCUAAAUAUUGACGAGAGACCGAUAGCGAACAAGUACCGUGAGGGAAAGAUGAAAAGAACUUUGAAAAGAGAGUCAAAAAGUACUUGAACUUGUUAAGAGGGAAGAGCUGAAAACUAGUAUCGCUCGUGGUUAGUUUCCCGCUCUGGGCUAAACAGGUGCGUACUGUGUGGUCAAACCACAGUGCGUAUUUGAAUGGUCUAGGGUGGUUCCUCUGGCUGCGAGUAGGUCAGCAUCAUUUCGAACUGUGGGAGAAAGCUGAGUGGAAGGUAGGGUCUUCGGACCUGUUAUAGACAUUCAGCCAUACCAUGGUUUGGAUUGAGGAUGUAUCGGCGCUCCGUUUUACGGAGUCUCGACUUAGCUCCUCAUGCUUACUGUGUGUGGGAAAACAAUGUUUUGCUAUGUGCGGUGGGUGUGACUGGGUUGGGAAGGGACUGCGCUGACGCGAUGCUGACGAAAUGGUUUUCAACUACCCGUCUUGAAACACGGACCAAGGAGUCUAACAUAUAUGCGAGUAUUUGGGUGGAAAACCCUGGUGCGUAAUGAAAGUAAAGGACAGCUUGCUGUCUGAGGUAGGAAUCCCGCAAGGGAGGCACUAUCGACCGAUCGUCACUUGUGAAAGAUUUGAGUAAGAGCAUAUCUGUUGGGACCCGAAAGAUGGUGAUCUAUGCCUGAACAGGGUGAAGCCAGGGGAAACUCUGGUGGAGGCUCGUAGCGAUACUGACGUGCAAAUCGUUCGUCUGAUUUGGGUAUAGGGGCGAAAGACUAAUCGAACUAUCUAGUAGCUGGUUCCCUC